CGUCUAUAUACGUAUAGCAUAUCAAUAAGCGGAGGAAAAGAAACUAACAAGGAUUCCCUUAGUAACGGCGAGUGAAGCGGGAAGAGCUCAAAUUUGAAAUCUUCAAGGUUCUACCUUGACGAAUUGUAGUUUAAAGAAGUGUUUUCUGUUGGAGUUUCGGUAAAAGUUCUUUGGAAUAGGACAUCAUAGAGGGUGAGAAUCCCGUAUUUGACCGUUACUUUCCAGCUGUGUGAUACACUUUCAAAGAGUCGGAUUGUUUGGGAAUGCAGUCCAAAAUGGGUGGUAAAUUUCAUCUAAAGCUAAAUACUGGCGAGAGACCGAUAGCGAACAAGUACCGUGAGGGAAAGAUGGAAAGAACUUUGAAAAGAGAGUUAAACAGUACGUGAAAUUGUCAAAAGGGAAGCGUUUGACACCAGUGUUGUUUUCUCGAAAAUCAAUUAAGAAUGUGGAUUUUGUGUUGAAGUAUUGACUUUAUCAGGCUUGCUGCUCUUUUUCCGAAUCUUUUUAAUGCACUUUUCGGUUAACAAGUCAACAUCAAUUUCUUUUGUUGUAAAAGAGUCAUAGGAAGGUGGCUUUCUUUUCGGAGAAAGUGUUUAUAGCCUUUGGCUUCUGCAAUCGGAGAGAUUGAGGUCUGCAGCGUAGAUCCUUCGGGGUUAGAUGCAUUUGUGCUAAGUUAUAGCCUUUCAUAGACAACUUGUUGACUAUGAUCAGUCAUGUAGCUUACUCGCUUAUGUCAUUUUACCUACGCUUAGGAUGUUGAUAUGCAUGACUGAUAU
rnacentral:rRNA from 1 species